GCACAAGCGGUGGAGCACGUGGUUUAAUUCGAAGCAACGCGAAGAACCUUACCAGGUCUUGACAUCCCCUGACAACCCGAGAGAUCGGGCGUUCCCCUUCGGGGGACAGGGUGACAGGGUGGUGCAUGGUUGUCGUCAGCUCGUGUCGUGAGAUGUUGGGUUAAGUCCCGCAACGAGCGCAACCCUCGACCUUAGUUGCCAGCAUUCAGUUGGGCACUCUAAGGUGACUGCCGGCUAAAAGUCGGAGGAAGGUGGGGAUGACGUCAAAUCGUCAUGCCCCUUAUGACCUGGGCUACACACGUGCUACAAUGGGCGGUACAAAGGGUCGCGAACCCGCGAGGGGGAGCCAAUCCCAAAAAGCCGCUCUCGGUUCGGAUUGCAGGCUGCAACUCGCCUGCAUGAAGCCGGAAUCGCUAGUAAUCGCGGAUCAGCAUGCCGCGGUGAAUACGUUCCCGGGCCUU
rnacentral:rRNA from 1 species